UUCCAGAUCGAAAAGACACUUCUGAACAAUUGCGACGGCGAUUGUGGCAUGUCAAAGAUCAGUUCGAACCAGCACGAACAAAUUCUUACACUUUUCGCGAUUUUCUAGCAUGAUCAUUUUUCUCUUAGAAACUGCCCAACAAAUUCACCAGCAUUACUACAUAUAUAUGAAAUUUUGAUAACUAAAGUUGCACGACGAUAAACAGUGUCAAUAAAUAAUCAAAAACCACGGUUUAAGAUUAUUUAUUGCCAUUGGGUCUGGGGGUGUUGUAACCUGACCACGAUCUUCAUGUGAUCAGGUUUGCCAAUCGUCGACCGCUUAUCCCCACACAGAACCACAAGGGCAAAUACUUAUAAUCCGUAGGUAUUUGUACUACAUUACACUCAUACAACAGAACAACACCACAAUUAUCGUACGCAUCCGUACAUUGGCCAACACACUACUUCGUGCACGCAACGUCCGCGAGAGUGGACAAUCUCUUCCCGGGUCAACCAGGGGAUUUGCACCCAUAUUGGUCCCAAGCAACAUUUGUUCUGCAUAACACCAAAAAACCCGCCAUUUCCCGAUGGAGCACCAACAUGACAUGUGUUCAACAUGUCGCACGCGUCAAGGAGCACUUUCCCUCACCCACGCAACUCCAAAGAACACCCACAUUUACCGCGAAAUCUCAAUCAAUUCCGCAACGUGGGAUGGAUCAUCAACGAACCGGUUGACUGGUAUCAGGAACCCUGAGGGCCGAUCCAAAUUACGCUCACGGUCCUCUCUCACAACACAACGAUCAGUACAUACGCACGCCACACACAUGACCCAUGACCCAAUAUAGAUCGAUGACCCGCUCUGCAGCAGUAUCAGUCGAUGGUUAAUCGAAAAACAGGCCGGAUUGCGUGUACACCAGAUUCCACACGCAGUGUAACGACACAACGAACCAACAGUGAUAUUGUUUUUCGGUGGAUUAUUUCCUGACUAAGAAGAGCCUGACCAUUGACGCAGCGAAAGGGCUGAUAAAGUGUGAACAAGACGUAGGACAAAGUUUGAAACUGCGUCCAGUGCAGAGAGUGGUCAUCAAGGCUUGGCUGCGGCCACUGCCUUACAAAAAAAGUGCCAACCUUUUUCUACAAAAUGGCCGGCACGGCAUCGAUGCUGUGAGCGUCGGAAUGAUGUGAGAUCGGCCCUAUUUUCUUUUCCGCAUUACUUCAAGAUAUUCAACAAAAUGGCGGCUGGAGGAGUACAACUUCUGCAGCAGUGGAUCAAGCAGCGCUGGACGAGCGAUGCAGCAGGAGAAUCGGCUGGAGAACCGGCUGGAAGCCGGUGCGGUCCGUUCAUUUCGGCGGGAUGCUGGAAUGACGGCGGGUCACGAAGACCGGGCCGUUUGAAGGAGUCUACGGAUGCAGUUUGGCCAACAGCAGGGGGGAUUACACACUAUAACACUGACACAUUUACAUUAGUUUAAUAAUUAACUUUAGAAUUAAAAAUGCAUUUUGACUGCUAAUCAAUGCAGCAAAAUUAAGUCGCCCAAGAAGGAGCGCCAUUAAAUAUUGGAUCCAAACAUGUAAAACUUUCUUUUUCAUUUGAUUUUUUUUAUAUUUCCGCCCAAAAGGGCCAAUAAAUGCAUACAACUUAGAACUAAUCAUUUUUGUGCGUUACAAUUCUUUACUCUUCGGUUCUGGGUGGACGAGACGGGGAGAAGAACGAGAGAACUUUUCAUCAGCGGACGCGAACCUCAUCCAGAUCGACUUCGUGGCGCGGGAAGCGGCAUCUUCUGGUGAGUCGAUCUGCUUUUGUCUUUCAGGAACUCAUGUAUGUCUGGUUAGCUGGUGACAAGGUGCAAAC